AUAAGUAAAGAUUUUAAGGGCGUACGGUGGAUGCCUUGGCGAUAUCAGCCGAAGAAGGACGCGGUAAGCUGCGAUAAGCUACGGAGAGGUGCAAGCAACCUGUGACCCGUAGAUUUCCGAAU
rnacentral:rRNA from 1 species